UGGGGAAUAUUGCACAAUGGAGGGAACUCUGAUGCAGCGACGCCGCGUGAACGAAGAAGGCUUUCGAGUCGUAAAGUUCUUUUAUAUGGGAAGAUAAUGACGGUACCAUAAGAAAAAGCCCCGGCUAACUACGUGCCAGCAGCCGCGGUAAUACGUAGGGGGCUAGCGUUGUCCGGAAUCACUGGGCGUAAAGGGUUCGCAGGCGGAAAUGCAAGUCAGGUGUAAAAGGCAGUAGCUUAACUACUGUAAGCAUUUGAAACUGCAUAUCUUGAGAAGAGUAGAGGUAAGUGGAAUUUUUAGUGUAGCGGUGAAAUGCGAAGAUAUUAAAAAGAAUACCGGUGGCGAAGGAGACUUACAGGGCUCAUUCUGACGCUGAGGAACGAAAGCGUGGGUAGCAAACAGG
rnacentral:rRNA from 1 species